GACUAGAAUAGGCAGAUGGAGUUUAGCUAGCAUGAGCUAGCAUGCCAGUGACUGCAGCUUGAUCAUGUUUUCCCAACCUGGAGGAAACAAGAUUGACAUUGUAUGCUGCUCUUUGGCAUUUCUUAGUCACCUGUGCACCACCUCACUAUCAUCUCCCUACAGCAUGCCCUAGAAACUGAGGCAGAAACCUGCAAGUGACAAAGAUCACAGAACUGGAGCCCAGGAGUUCGGGCUUCAGCUAGCACAAGCACUGAAAUGGAGAACACUUCAUCCAACAUACAUUGACACAGGAGGAGUGGAAGCUGUGGCAGAACGGAAGUUGAGAUCUAUGGAAAGGUUAACAUCAGGUUUGAAAUUAAAAGUUACCUUCAACUGUUAAUCAGGUGGCAGUGCCUCGCUGCUAAAUGGUGCCUUGCUGCUAAAUGGUGAGAGAGAGCAGAGAGAGGAACCCAGGGCUGCUUCCAACAGAGGGACAAGCAGUCAAGAGGACCAAAGAGGAUGGCAAACAGGAGGGAUGGUGGAAGAUGUUGGUAGCAUGAAGAAAAGGACGGUGAUGGCAGGGAUGAGGAAAAAAAAAAUGGAAGAAAUACACAUAAAAGAAGAAGAGGGAAAAUUCAACAUAAAGAAGUAG
rnacentral:lncRNA from 1 species